rnacentral:rRNA from 1 species
AGAGUUUGAUCCUGGCUCAGGACGAACGCUGGCGGCGUGCUUAACACAUGCAAGUCGAACGGAGCACCCUUGAUUGAGGUUUCGGCCAAAUGAUAGGAAUGCUUAGUGGCGGACUGGUGAGUAACGCGUGAGGAACCUGCCUUUCAGAGGGGGACAACAGUUGGAAACGACUGCUAAUACCGCAUGACGCAUUUUGAUCGCAUGGUCGAAAUGCCAAAGAUUUAUCGCUGAAAGAUGGCCUCGCGUCUGAUUAGCUAGUUGGUGAGGUAACGGCCCACCAAGGCGACGAUCAGUAGCCGGACUGAGAGGUUGACCGGCCACAUUGGGACUGAGAUACGGCCCAGACUCCUACGGGAGGCAGCAGUGGGGAAUAUUGGGCAAUGGGCGCAAGCCUGACCCAGCAACGCCGCGUGAAGGAAGAAGGCUUUCGGGUUGUAAACUUCUUUUAAGUGGGAAGAGUAGAAGACGGUACCACUUGAAUAAGCCACGGCUAACUACGUGCCAGCAGCCGCGGUAAUACGUAGGUGGCAAGCGUUGUCCGGAUUUACUGGGUGUAAAGGGCGUGCAGCCGGGCAUGCAAGUCAGAUGUGAAAUCUCAGGGCUUAACCCUGAAACUGCAUUUGAAACUGUAUGUCUUGAGUGCCGGAGAGGUAAUCGGAAUUCCUUGUGUAGCGGUGAAAUGCGUAGAUAUAAGGAAGAACACCAGUGGCGAAGGCGGAUUACUGGACGGUAACUGACGGUGAGGCGCGAAAGCGUGGGGAGCGAACAGGAUUAGAUACCCUGGUAGUCCACGCUGUAAACGAUGGAUACUAGGUGUGCGGGGACUGACCCCCUGCGUGCCGCAGUUAACACAAUAAGUAUCCCACCUGGGGAGUACGAUCGCAAGGUUGAAACUCAAAGGAAUUGACGGGGGCCCGCACAAGCGGUGGAUUAUGUGGUUUAAUUCGAAGCAACGCGAAGAACCUUACCAGGUCUUGACAUCCUGCUAACGAAGUAGAGAUACAUUAGGUGCCCUUCGGGGAAAGCAGAGACAGGUGGUGCAUGGUUGUCGUCAGCUCGUGUCGUGAGAUGUUGGGUUAAGU